rnacentral:rRNA from 1 species
AUUGAACGCUGGCGGCAGGCCUAACACAUGCAAGUCGAACGAGUGGCGCACGGGUGAGUCAUGUCUGGGAAACUGCCUGAUGGCGGGGGAUAACUACUGGAAACGGUAGCUAAUACCGCCUACCCUGGAAUGUGCCCGGAUGGGAUUAGCUAGUGGUGGGGGUAAAGGAUCACCUAGGCGACGACCCCUAGCUGGUCUGAGAGGAUGACCAGCCACACUGGAACUGAGACACGGUCCAGACUCCUACGGGAGGCAGCAGUGGGGAAUAUUGCACAAUGGGCGCAAGCCUGAUGCAGCCAUGCCGCGUGUAUGAAGAAGGCCUUCGGGUUGUAAAGUACUUUCAGCGGGGAGGCGUUACCCGCAGAAGAAGCACCGGCUAACUCCGUGCCAGCAGCCGCGGUAAUUC